AUCUAAAUCACUCUGGGAGCUUGUUAAAAUAUAGAUUCUGAUUGUGUGAGCUGGGGGCAGGUCCUAAGACCCUGUGUUUCUGACCAUUGCCCAGGUGAUGCUGAG
rnacentral:pre_miRNA from 1 species